GUCAACGGAGCGGGGCGUGCUUUGGUCAGUAAGAGGAGGAGUGGGUGCAGAGGGAGGAGAGACAGUCUCUCCUUCUGCGAGGUCCUCUCUAAUCCGGCGUCCUCAUCGCCACUGGCUGUCCGAGUACCUCCUCGUCGUCGCCGGUUACCGCCGUCUGGUCUAGUCGCGCGGCGCCCUCCCCUACCCCGUCGAGAGUACCCGGUUCGUCUCGUCUCAGCCGCCCGGUACGGUCCUGGUCGCACUAUCCAGCGCCCGCUUCUCCCCGGUCCCGCCGCUUCUGUGGGGUCCUUUCCACGGCGGCCGGUGCUGGAAAAAGGAGGAACGGGAACAAAAGAGGAAGGGCAGAUCCCAAUAGCGGCGGCGGCGGCGGUAGCAGGGGUAGGAACGAGCGCCGGAGCCAGAGACGCAGAGAUUAGCAGGGUUCUAGGGUUUGGGCAGCAGCAGAAGAUGAAGGGAGAGAAUAAGGGGAUACGGGGCCGUUCCACACGGUUAGGCCGCGUGUGCCGUUUCAUGUAGUCGUAGGUCAUAUGGGGAACUGUGCCGGUUCCAGUCCGAUGUUGACGUCUUCUCCCAGCAGCGGUCCCUAGAGCGACCCGGGUUCAUGGCACCGGACGAGCCGUGGCGGCGGUGGUAGCGGUUCCUCCUUCCGCGGCGGCGUGAGACCUUCCCGUAGCCGGGACCGGAGGUAGCGGCCACGUAGAUGCUGCCAGCGAUACUCGGGCAGUUUAGGAAGAUACAACCACGGUACAACCCCUACAUGGAAACAGGUUCUUCUAUCGGCAACCGAAGUGGUGACCACGGGAAUAUUAGAGACACCGGUUGGGGUAACUGGAACAGUUUCAGUCCGAAGUCAGGCUCCCCUUCUACCGUGGACCACACAGCGCGACAAUAUGACCCCGUUACAUACGCGGUUCUGACAAUCCGUCCAGAUAACAAAGACGAGAACAAGACGUUUGAUUAACACCUAACAAUGUAAAGGGCUUAACGAACGAAGUUUAUACAGCCAUAGUAGAAAUCCUUCCCCAACUAAAGUCCUAGUUCACUUCCACCUCGUACCGAUCGAACGAACAAAUCGUGUCAUUACAUAAGAAACUAAAAAAAUACGUCAAAUAGAAAACCCAGCUGAGAAAUAAUAAUUUCCUUUUAGCUUCCAGCACUACCAAGCUGGAGGAUGAUAGCGAUAGCUCUGUAGGGAAGGGUGGAGACUAAAUAAAGGGUAUCUCUACUGGAGAGGGUGAAGGCAAAACUAAACCAAGGUGUGUCAAUGGGUGGGUGCGUGGGGAGGGUGCUAGGAGGGCUGCAAGGGGUACUAAAGGGGUUGCGUCGGAGGAGAACCUCUCAGCGAGGAUCGCGUUGCUCGCUGUGACGAGGGACAGUGGAGGUUUGGUACCGAAGGGGACGUAGAGGAGGUGCGCUACGGCGGUGAAGCGACAACGGUGGUUACGGAUCAACUACCGUCGUAAGGAGUAGAAGAAGAAGAGUCCGGCGUCGGAGGCAACACUACAACGGCGGGGUGUCAGAGCUGGCCGCGGCGCGACCGGCGCCGUAGGGCGCGCUUAUUCUCCAGCUGGCAAGAGAAGAAACCUAGAUCCAUCUCUUAGCGCUCCCUCCGACGUUAUCUUCAACCUCUUAGCGCUCCCCGUGUAGGAGUGUACAGUCAUCUCCGCAUCCGCACCGCUUCUCCGUGUACCACUGUCACAUCCACCUCCUCAUUUCCCGGCGACCUCUGCCAUAGUGCAGGUUAUGUAGCCGCUUGGCCGCACGUCACCGCGGUCCGACCUCCAUCGAGUGCCCCUACAAGUUGGACUUGUUGGUGAAGUACAAGAAGGACGCGGUACCGCAUCAGUAGGAGCAGAGGUCGGGUCCAUACCAUAGGUAGGUUCAGAUGAUUGAAGAGAAGAAUUAGAAUAAAAGACGACUAUAUUCAUUAGUACAGCUAAUGACGUCCGUUAAAUAAAAACGUGUGUUGAUUCGAAAAGUCAUCAUGUGUUCCUUGUGGUCCUUAUAUUUAUCAAAGUCCUUAAGGUAUACAACAUUCUACGAAACUUAUCAGUAAUAUGACAUCGAAGUGACUUAACAUAUAGACUUGAAUGUAAACGUAUUUAGUUGACGUUAUACAAUGUUUAAAACAUGUCAUAGUAUAAGUCCAACUCAAGUCAAGUAUAACCGGUAAGCUACUCGAAAUCAGCCAGCAAGAGAAAAGAGGAUAUAAAACUACUAGAGUAUUACUUCCUUUAGGGUCAAAAUCAAACGCAGUAGAAUUGGUUAAUCGGAGAUAAGUAACAUGAGCCUGUGUUUUAUUCAAGUUUCAUCCGAUAAGUAACGGUAGACGUGUAUAAAAGUCAACAUUAUAAAAAACAUAAACACGUCACAACCUACGAAUGUAUGUAAUACAUGUGAAUACGUCUUCUCUUCCCAGGGUAGUGAGAUCCGACCCACGUCGGAUUAUAAUAAUACGGUGUAAUAGGCCAGACCUUGUACAGCAUGUUCUAAUUUGAAGCUUAAAACGAAGUCAAAGUUUAAAAAGAUAUACAGGCUUAAGGUUUGUCUUAAAAUAUCCUUAAUAUUAUUUUUGGAGAUACUAUAGCGAAGCCGUGAUUUAUUGAAAAACCGAGUCGAUUUAUUGGAAAAGAGGAUUGAGGGCGGAAAUAAACACGUCGACUUAAGUACACCUGUUCACUGUUUUGUAACUAAAAACACCGCUCUCAGUUUCAUUAGUACAACACUUGUUCCGGAAAGAAUGUCAAUUGAUAUUUAAGACUUGUACAACUAGGAGGUAAACACUUCUUCGACACUGUUUUAAUCUUCAGUUUCCAACAGGUGCCUACGUUCCUAGUUGAGUCGCGUACGUACGUUGCGUGCUACCUCUUUUUGACCCUCUCUCUGGGGUUGACAUAGCAACAUUUUUUUUACACAAUCGUACUUUGCUGUUCUAGAGCCGUUGAUAAGUGACUUAAACCUUCUUUACGUGUGUGUUGUUUCUUCGGUAACACUCGCGUGUCUAUUCCUCGCCUGUCUCUUCAUCGGUUCGUGCUCUUUGUAGUAGUUGUAUGAAAUAGAAGAACAUAAAGACCACCGUGAAUCCACACUUCUUUACAUGUGCCACUAACGAUCCUUCCCUCAACUCACCCUCAUUCUGUUUCCUUAAACACUUGUUUAAAUUUAAAACUUCCCUUUCUGGAAAGUCAAG
rnacentral:rRNA from 1 species